rnacentral:rRNA from 1 species
GGGUUGUGAGGUUAAGCGACUAAGCGUACACGGUGGAUGCCCUGGCAGUCAGAGGCGAUGAAGGACGUGCUAAUCUGCGAUAAGCGUCGGUAAGGUGAUAUGAACCGUUAUAACCGGCGAUUUCCGAAUGGGGAAACCCAGUGUGUUUCGACACACUAUCAUUAACUGAAUCCAUAGGUUAAUGAGGCGAACCGGGGGAACUGAAACAUCUAAGUACCCCGAGGAAAAGAAAUCAACCGAGAUUCCCCCAGUAGCGGCGAGCGAACGGGGAGGAGCCCAGAGCCUGAAUCAGUGUGUGUGUUAGUGGAAGCGUCUGGAAAGGCGCGCGAUACAGGGUGACAGCCCCGUACACAAAAAUGCACAUGCUGUGAGCUCGAUGAGUAGGGCGGGACACGUGGUAUCCUGUCUGAAUAUGGGGGGACCAUCCUCCAAGGCUAAAUACUCCUGACUGACCGAUAGUGAACCAGUACCGUGAGGGAAAGGCGAAAAGAACCCCGGCGAGGGGAGUGAAAAAGAACCUGAAACCGUGUACGUACAAGCAGUGGGAGCACGCUUAGGCGUGUGACUGCGUACCUUUUGUAUAAUGGGUCAGCGACUUAUAUUCUGUAGCAAGGUUAACCGAAUAGGGGAGCCGAAGGGAAACCGAGUCUUAACUGGGCGUUAAGUUGCAGGGUAUAGACCCGAAACCCGGUGAUCUAGCCAUGGGCAGGUUGAAGGUUGGGUAACACUAACUGGAGGACCGAACCGACUAAUGUUGAAAAAUUAGCGGAUGACUUGUGGCUGGGGGUGAAAGGCCAAUCAAACCGGGAGAUAGCUGGUUCUCCCCGAAAGCUAUUUAGGUAGCGCCUCGUGAAUUCAUCUCCGGGGGUAGAGCACUGUUUCGGCAAGGGGGUCAUCCCGACUUACCAACCCGAUGCAAACUGCGAAUACCGGAGAAUGUUAUCACGGGAGACACACGGCGGGUGCUAACGUCCGUCGUGAAGAGGGAAACAACCCAGACCGCCAGCUAAGGUCCCAAAGUCAUGGUUAAGUGGGAAACGAUGUGGGAAGGCCCAGACAGCCAGGAUGUUGGCUUAGAAGCAGCCAUCAUUUAAAGAAAGCGUAAUAGCUCACUGGUCGAGUCGGCCUGCGCGGAAGAUGUAACGGGGCUAAACCAUGCACCGAAGCUGCGGCAGCGACGCUUAUGCGUUGUUGGGUAGGGGAGCGUUCUGUAAGCCUGUGAAGGUGUGCUGUGAGGCAUGCUGGAGGUAUCAGAAGUGCGAAUGCUGACAUAAGUAACGAUAAAGCGGGUGAAAAGCCCGCUCGCCGGAAGACCAAGGGUUCCUGUCCAACGUUAAUCGGGGCAGGGUGAGUCGACCCCUAAGGCGAGGCCGAAAGGCGUAGUCGAUGGGAAACAGGUUAAUAUUCCUGUACUUGGUGUUACUGCGAAGGGGGGACGGAGAAGGCUAUGUUGGCCGGGCGACGGUUGUCCCGGUUUAAGCGUGUAGGCUGGUUUUCCAGGCAAAUCCGGAAAAUCAAGGCUGAGGCGUGAUGACGAGGCACUACGGUGCUGAAGCAACAAAUGCCCUGCUUCCAGGAAAAGCCUCUAAGCAUCAGGUAACAUCAAAUCGUACCCCAAACCGACACAGGUGGUCAGGUAGAGAAUACCAAGGCGCUUGAGAGAACUCGGGUGAAGGAACUAGGCAAAAUGGUGCCGUAACUUCGGGAGAAGGCACGCUGAUAUGUAGGUGAAGUCCCUCGCGGAUGGAGCUGAAAUCAGUCGAAGAUACCAGCUGGCUGCAACUGUUUAUUAAAAACACAGCACUGUGCAAACACGAAAGUGGACGUAUACGGUGUGACGCCUGCCCGGUGCCGGAAGGUUAAUUGAUGGGGUCAGCGCAAGCGAAGCUCUUGAUCGAAGCCCCGGUAAACGGCGGCCGUAACUAUAACGGUCCUAAGGUAGCGAAAUUCCUUGUCGGGUAAGUUCCGACCUGCACGAAUGGCGUAAUGAUGGCCAGGCUGUCUCCACCCGAGACUCAGUGAAAUUGAACUCGCUGUGAAGAUGCAGUGUACCCGCGGCAAGACGGAAAGACCCCGUGAACCUUUACUAUAGCUUGACACUGAACAUUGAGCCUUGAUGUGUAGGAUAGGUGGGAGGCUUAGAAGUGUGGACGCCAGUCUGCAUGGAGCCGACCUUGAAAUACCACCCUUUAAUGUUUGAUGUUCUAACGUUGACCCGUAAUCCGGGUUGCGGACAGUGUCUGGUGGGUAGUUUGACUGGGGCGGUCUCCUCCUAAAGAGUAACGGAGGAGCACGAAGGUUGGCUAAUCCUGGUCGGACAUCAGGAGGUUAGUGCAAUGGCAUAAGCCAGCUUGACUGCGAGCGUGACGGCGCGAGCAGGUGCGAAAGCAGGUCAUAGUGAUCCGGUGGUUCUGAAUGGAAGGGCCAUCGCUCAACGGAUAAAAGGUACUCCGGGGAUAACAGGCUGAUACCGCCCAAGAGUUCAUAUCGACGGCGGUGUUUGGCACCUCGAUGUCGGCUCAUCACAUCCUGGGGCUGAAGUAGGUCCCAAGGGUAUGGCUGUUCGCCAUUUAAAGUGGUACGCGAGCUGGGUUUAGAACGUCGUGAGACAGUUCGGUCCCUAUCUGCCGUGGGCGCUGGAGAACUGAGGGGGGCUGCUCCUAGUACGAGAGGACCGGAGUGGACGCAUCACUGGUGUUCGGGUUGUCAUGCCAAUGGCACUGCCCGGUAGCUAAAUGCGGAAGAGAUAAGUGCUGAAAGCAUCUAAGCACGAAACUUGCCCCGAGAUGAGUUCUCCCUGACCCUUUAAGGGUCCUGAAGGAACGUUGAAGACGACGACGUUGAUAGGCCGGGUGUGUAAGCGCAGCGAUGCGUUGAGCUAACCGGUACUAAUGAACCGUGAGGCUUAACCUUACAACGCCGAAGCUGUU